AGCAGCCGCGGUAAUUCCAGCUCCAAUAGCGUAUAUUAAAGUUGUUGCAGUUAAAAGCUCGUAGUUGAAUUUCGGGGUUAGUAGGUUGGUCAUGCCUCUGGUAUGUACUGGUCUCACUGAUUCCUCCUUCCUGAUGAACCUUAAUGCCAUUAAUUUGGUGUUUUGGGGAAUUUGGACUGUUACUUUGAAAAAAUUAGAGUGUUUAAAGCAAGCUAACGCUUGAAUACAUUAGCAUGGAAUAAUGAAAUAGGACGUUCGAUCCUAUUUUGUUGGUUUCUAGGAUUGACGUAAUGAUUAAUAGGGAUAGUUGGGGGCAUUAGUAUUCAAUUGUCAGAGGUGAAAUUCUUGGAUUUAUUGAAGACUAACUACUGCGAAAGCAUUUGCCAAGGAUGUUUUCAUUAAUCAAGAACGAAAGUUAGGGAUCGAAGACGAUCAGAUACCGUCGUAGUCUUAACCAUAAACUAUGCCGACUAGGGAUCGGAUGAUGUUAAUUUUUUAAUGACUCAUUCGGCGCCUUACG
rnacentral:misc_RNA from 1 species